rnacentral:tRNA from 1 species
GCCGCGGUGCUGAAAUUGGUAUACAGGCUGGACUUAGAAUCCAGUGUCUGAAAGGACAUGAGAGUUCGAGUCUCUCCCGCGGCA